rnacentral:rRNA from 1 species
UACGGAGGGUGCAAGCGUUGUUCGGAAUUAUUGGGCGUAAAGGGCGCGUAGGUGGUUGUGAUAGUCAGAUGUGAAAUCCUUCGGCUCAACCGAAGAACUGCAUCUGAAACUUCAUAGCUCGAGUACAGGAGAGGGAAACGGAAUUCCCGGUGUAGAGGUGAAAUUCGUAGAUAUCGGGAGGAACACCAGUGGCGAAGGCGGUUUCCUGGCCUGAUACUGACGCUGAGGCGCGAAAGCGUGGGGAGCAAACAGGAUUAGAAACCCUAGUAGUCC